rnacentral:rRNA from 1 species
AUCUCUGUAGAGUCUGCAUAUCAAUAAGCGGAGGAAAAGAAACUAACUAGGAUUCCCUUAGUAACGGCGAGUGAAGCGGGAAGAGCUCAAAUUUGAAAUCUUCAAGGUUUUACCUUGACGAAUUGUAGUUUAAAGAAGUGUUUUCUGUUGGAUGUUUUGGUAAAAGUUCUUUGGAAUAGGACAUCAUAGAGGGUGAGAAUCCCGUAUUUGACCAUUACUUCCAGCUUUGUGAUACACUUUCAAAGAGUCGGAUUGUUUGGGAAUGCAGUCCAAAAUGGGUGGUAAAUUUCAUCUAAAGCUAAAUAUUGGCGAGAGACCGAUAGCGAACAAGUACCGUGAGGGAAAGAUGAAAAGAACUUUGAAAAGAGAGUUAAACAGUACAUGAAAUUGUCAAAAGGGAAGCGUUUGACACCAGUGUUGUUUUCUCGAAAAUCAAUUAAAAAAAGUUGGAUUUUGUAUUGUUAAGACCUUAUCAGCUUACUGUACUCUUUUCUUGCUUUUUUUAAUGCACUUUUCGUUUAACAAGUCAACAUCAAUUUCUUUUGUUGUAAAAGAGUCAUUGGAAGGUGGCUUUCACUUCGGUGAAAGUGUUUAUAGCCUUUGGCUUCUGCAAUCGGAGAGAUUGAGGUCUGCAGCGUAGAUCCUUCGGGGCUAGAUACGUAGAUGCUAAGUUAUAGUUUUUUAUAGACAACUUGUUGACUAUAAUUAAUCAUGUAGCUUACUCGUUUGCGCUAUUUUACCUACGCUUAGGAUGUUGACGAUCAGCUGAGCGCG